GACCUCACAUUUGGACAGUCCAGAAUCCCACUGGACCUCGACACGACGCAACACACACGAAGCUGCUCCCUAUCGAUCUGCUCUGCGCCUCCUCCCUCGCCGCUCGCCGGCACCGGCAACCCCCUCCACCGCCGCCCUCUCUCCCUGCCCGCCGGCGGCCACCCUAUCCUCGCAGCUCGCCGGCCGAAUCGACGUUGAUGGCGACCCGGACCUGCCUUCCCCGACUACGCCGCACUCCCAUAUCCGUAGAAGCCAACGGCGCCUGAAGAGCACCCGCCACCUCCUUCUCUAGACCAGUCCGCCGUCGCCUCCAUCCGGACUCCGACGAGCCUCUCCACCUCCGCCUGCACACCCUGGACGCCCGUCCCUACCCCUAGCUGAAGUUGUGCCAUCUCACUUGGAGCAGCUUAAGUUGCUGAUAUUCAGUAGUAAUACUCCAAUUGUCAAAAUGUCGAAUAGUCAAACUGCAGAGCAAUUGCAACUUGGUGGAGUGGAUGAUGUAACGCAGCUUACCAAUCGCAGAAGCAAGAAAAGAUCUAGAGUUUGGGAAUUUUUCAAGGAGUUACCUGAGGAAGGAAAAGCUAUCUGCAUUUAUUGUCAGUCCAAAUUGUCAUAUCAUCAAGGGAUUGGCGUGUCACACUUUAAGCGCCAUAUCUUGGCCGGAUGCCACGAGUUCCCAUCAGAUAUUGAUCGCAAUGCAAUAUUUCCGGUGAGUGACCCCGUUGUAGAUGCACGUUUUGUGGUGGAUCCAACUGUAUUUCCCGUGAGUGACCCAAUUGUAGAUGCACGUUUUGUGGUGGAUCCAGCUGUGACAAGGGACUUCAUGACUAAGUUCUGGAUCAGUGCAAAUAUUGCUUUCAGAAAGAUUGAAAAUGUUUUUUUCAAGAAAAUGAUGAAGUCAGCACACCCAAGUCUUCAUGUUCAUGGUCGAAAAACUCUCAAAAAGGAUUGUCUUGCUGUGUAUGACGAAGAGAAGAAAAAGAUUGAAAACAGCUUGGCUAAUUCUGGCUCUCAUGUUAGUUUUACAACUGAUAUGUGGACAUCAAUCCAAGAACUUGGAUACAUUUGCUUGACUGCACAUUAUAUCGAUGAUGAAUUCAAUCUGCACAUGCAUACAAUCAGUUUUAGAAGUGUCCCAUAUCCUCACAACGCUACUGCAAUCCAUAGUACUAUUAUGGAUUGUCUCUAUGAUUGGGACUUGUCUAACAAAGCUUUUGCUUUUACUCUGGAUAAUGCCACAUCAAAUACUGCUGCGGUGAAUAAGUUAAAGGCCAAACUUUGGACAGACAAGCCCUUUGGAGGCGAAGAUCUCCAUGUGAAAUGCACGACACACAUCUUGAACUUAGUUGUCCAAGAUGGAAUGGAUACUAUCAAGGAUGCAACAGAGCCUGUAAGGGAUGUUGUUAAACAUGUAAACUCAUCCGGACCUCGCUUGCAGACUUUUAACUUACUUCCAGAAAUGUCUGGCCAUGAACCUAAGAAAAGAUUGAAAUUAGAUGUUCCCAGAAGAUGGAACUCUACAUAUAGCAUGCUUGAAGAAGCUUUGAAGUUUAAGGCGGCCCUCACUAGCUAUGCUGAUGUUCAAAACAUUCAAGGACCUACAGUUGAAGAAUGGAGCCUAGCUGAGAGAGUUUGCAACUUCCUAAAGAACUUUGCUGAUGCAACAAAGGUUUUGUCCAUGCAUAAAUUCCCAACAGCACAUAGAUACUUAGAAGAGAUUUGGGGAAUUCGAGAACUACUCGUUGAUGACAAAUAUACAUCAGAUGAUUUUUUGAAGGAGUUGUGCAAAGAUAUGAAGGCAAAGUUUGAUAAAUACUGGGAUCAACCUAACAAAGUUCUUCUGGUUGCAUCCUUAUUGAAUCCACGGUACAAAAUAGCUCUUCUGAAGUUUUGUUGGACCGAAGCAUAUGGAGAAGAGGUGGCUGAACAGAGAGUAACUGAUGUUCGUAAGUGGUUUAAAGAAUAUUACGAGUAUUACGAAUGCAUGGUGCAAAGUUCUUCACAAGGAAGCAACAUUAAUUCAUCACAUGAGGUGGGAGGGUCUGCAAAUAUGCCCUCAACGCUAACAGGAAAGCGCAAAUUAGAGUUGGGAUUUGCUUUGUUCAAACAACAAUAUCGCCCUAAUCACUCUAGAAGGUCAGAGGUUGAUAUUUAUCUAGAAGAUUCAUUGGUUCCUCUUAGUGAAGGUGAAACUGUUGACGUGUUGAAGUGGUGGAAAAGAAACGCAGAGAAUUAUCCUGUACUAGCCAAGAUGGCUCGGGACUUUCUGGCUAUUCCAUUAUCAUCUGUGGCUUCUGAAUCAACAUUUAGUAUAGCCAGCAUGAUAAUUGAUAAACAUGGCAGUUCUCUAAACCCAGAAACAGCUGAAGGACUAAUAUGCUCAAAAGAUUGGCUAAAAGAAUACUUGUCUGAUGACGACGACGACGACGACGACGACACUGAUGAUGAUUGACUCCACGGGUUUCAGCCAUAGAUUUAUGCUCAGAAAAAGGACACAGGUCUGUUUUCUAGAUACUUCUUCGUUAGAUCAUCAUUUUAUUCCACUUGUUAGAUGCUACUUGUGCUCAACCAACUUUGUCACAUGCUAUUAAGCUGAUCAGUCCCUUUGUUAAGUCAGUCCACUCUCUUGUGUAUUACUAAAACUACUCGUGGGUAUGAAGUUCCUUGUACUGUUCUUAUGGGCAGACGCUGGAAAAACUACAUGUUAUAUCUAUGUUGAGAUGGCAAUAUGAUCUGAAAGCUUACAUGAUCACAUGCUGGUCAGUUCUAUGUGAUCACAAUGGUCAGCACGUAGUAUAUCUGUAUUGAUUUAGCCAGCAGGUUCUUCAUAGCGUAUAUGUGUAGCAGCACCCUUUUGUCUUGCCAUUUGAAUAAGGGUCAGAGCCUUGAGAAUAACAAUCAGGAACUAGCAAACUUAUCUUUGGUGUUCAGUAAAGCCUAUACAUGGUUGCUUUUAGUUCCACACUCAGAGUCAUAGCUAGGCACUCAUUCAUGGCAGUCAAAGGAUGACACGGCAUUAGAUUAAGUGUUUGGAUAUCUAGUCUGUGUGCAUACUACCGUAAGAGACUACUAUUCCCCAAGUUCGGUCAUGAAGAUCUUCGUUGCCACUCGCCACCCGAUUCAGCAGCUCCGACUUCACAACAGGGAAGUCCAGCAGGAAGGCGAGUUGGACACGCCGAAACAAGAAGCCGACUAACAAGAUCUUGCCGCAACCAAACCAUCACUUGUCACCAUCGUCCUUGCCACGCAAGCCACCACGUGGAAACCCUGCAUUGCCUGUCGGACACCUGCCAGCCGCAAUGUUGCGUGCGUCAAACCCAUCAAGAAGCACGGAUGGGAUCAAUGUCUUCAAGAUGACGCCUCCAAGGAGGAAAGCGACGUGAGAACGACGCUCGUCGCCUGGCCCAUCUUGUCUAGGUUUUCAUCCAAAGAGCUCGAGCCGACGCUGGAAGAGGUCGAGGAGACUCCACAGCGGCACCUCCAAGAAGCGGAACAGCAACCACAGUCGAGACUGCACCGCCGGCCAGCAUUGGACUGGCAGACUUUCGGCCGAAGCUUAAGGACCACUAUCCCCACGCUACCAGCCAGAGCCAGCCUGUGCAGCCACUGGCCCGCACACCCCCGACGCCGCAACCACGUCAUCACCGCGCAGAGGCCAUCACUUGCUUCGCCACAAGAGAACCAGAAUUGGAGGCAACAAAACUCGAGGAGUCUCGAUCUUGGGAGCAGCAGCCGCAUCACGCGGAGACAUCACGAGAUAGAAGACGGAUGGCUCCUCCAUGAGCGCCGGCAGGAGCAACCUCCCAACAGCAGCCACCAGCGCGUGGAAGCAGCAGAAGCACCCACAUCCGCUACAGAUUGAUCGAUGGCAGCCACUGAGACCACGUCUGGUCGCUGCGCAAGCAUCCUGCAAUACCACGAACUGGAGGAGCGCUGAGCAGCAGGUUGAACCACCUCCAACUCCGACCACCGCACCGUCUACCAUGGCCACGCCGGACGCUGCUGCCAGCAGCCGCCAUGGGCCGUCGCCCACGCAGGAAACAGCCAGAGGACCCCAUCUCUUCAGGAACAGGGCCCGCCACCACCGCGGCAGGAGUUGGUGGCAGCGGCGGCAGGGGAGGCGAGCAGGGGAGGGCCUAGCGGCAGCUAGGGCUUCGGCCCCCAGGCCGCCAAAGGGGCGCAACAUGGGGGGAGAGCAAAGAUGGUGUUUGGGAAUUUUAACCAUAAUGGUGCAUUUGCUGUGCAUGUCAUUUCUCACUGGUGUUUAGAUGAUGGCUGUACAGAAAAUUAUAGUCCAGUAUUAUCAUGUAACUUGAGUCACCAUUUAUCGAAAACUCACCAUCUGUAUGUCCGUAUGCAGUGUAAUCUACAGACUUGAGUUCAGUUGAAAAGUUCUUGUUUUGCUAUGUUC